CCUACGGGUGGCAGCAGUGGGGAAUAUUGCACAAUGGGGGAAACCCUGAUGCAGCGAAGCCGCGUGAGUGAAGAAGUAAUUCGGUAUGUAAAGCUCUAUCAGCAGGGAAGAAAAUGACGGUACCUGAGUAAGAAGCCCCGGCUAACUACGUGCCAGCAGCCGCGGUAAUACGUAGGGGCCAGGGUUUUACGGGUUUACCGGGUGGAAAGGGGGGUGAGAGGGGAGUGCAAAGCUGGAGGGAAAAGCGGGGGUCCAAACCCCGGACUGGUCUGGAAACCGGACGGCUGGAGUGCAGGAGAGGUAAGUGGAAUUCCUGGUGUAGCGGUGAAAUGCGUAGAUAUUAGGAAGAACACCAGUUGCGAAGGCAGCUUACUGGUCUGUAACUGACGUUGAGGCUCGAAAGCGUGGGGAGCAAACAGGAUUAGAUACCCCAGUAGUC
rnacentral:rRNA from 1 species